rnacentral:lncRNA from 1 species
GCGGCGGCCUCGAGCCACUAAUCUGAGCUGUCCGCAAGAGAUCAGAAGCCGCCCGCAAAGCGGAACCUGGAGGAACGAGGGAGGGCCGCAGUCUCGGGGAACCGGAGCCCCCGCUGCGACUCCGCCGGGACAGCAGCUUCCGGCGCCCCGGCAGCCUCCUGCCCUCGGGGCACUCGCUCCCCCCGAGGUGUACUCCCCGAGGGCUGGGGGAGCGCAUUCCCUCCCGUCCUACUGAUUAAGUUUCCAGCUUUCAGCAAAUGGGGAUGCCCAAAGGAGCAGAUAGCGAGUGACCUGUGGCCCUGCUGUUUGAUUCUGGAUGGAGUUACGUUUAGGAGCCUGGCAGCAAACUGGGGCACCUGUUCAAUUAGUGAUGAUGCCAUACUCUGGGCAUGGAGAGAGUGGAGAAGGAAAUAAAUU